UACGAAGGGGGCUAGCGUUGCUCGGAAAUACUGGGCGUAAAGCGCACGUAGGCGGCGCAGCAAGUCAGGGGUGAAAUCCCGGGGCUCAACCCCGGAACUGCCCUUGAAACUGCAGUGCUAGAAUCUUGGAGAGGCGAGUGGAAUUCCGAGUGUAGAGGUGAAAUUCGUAGAUAUUAGGAAGAACACCAGUGGCGAAGGCGGCUCACUGGUCCGGUACUGACGCUGAGGUGCGAAAGCGUGGGGAGCAAACAGG
rnacentral:rRNA from 1 species